AUCGGUGGCUACAGCUUCCUGUCCAUGCCCUCUCUCGUCAGAUCUCUGAAGCUAAGCAAGGCUGGCCCUGGUUAGUACUUCAGUGAGAGACCCCUGGGAAUAGUAGGUGUUUCAGUGG
rnacentral:rRNA from 1 species